rnacentral:rRNA from 1 species
UGGGGAAUAUUGCACAAUGGGCGCAAGCCUGAUGCAUCCAUGCCGCGUGUGUGAAGAAGGCCUUCGGGUUGUAAAGCACUUUCAGCGAGGAGGAAGGUGGUGAACUUAAUACGUUCAUCAAUUGACGUUACUCGCAGAAGAAGCACCGGCUAACUCCGUGCCAGCAGCCGCGGUAAUACGGAGGGUGCAAGCGUUAAUCGGAAUUACUGGGCGUAAAGCGCACGCAGGCGGUUUGUUAAGUCAGAUGUGAAAUCCCCGGGCUCAACCUGGGAACUGCAUUUGAAACUGGCAAGCUAGAGUCUCGUAGAGGGGGGUAGAAUUCCAGGUGUAGCGGUGAAAUGCGUAGAGAUCUGGAGGAAUACCGGUGGCGAAGGCGGCCCCCUGGACGAAGACUGACGCUCAGGUGCGAAAGCGUGGGGAGCAAACAGAUUAGAUACCCUGGUAGUCCACGCUGUAAACGAUGUCGAUUUUGGAGGUUGUGCCCUUGAGGCGUGG